UACGAAGGGGGCUAGCGUUGCUCGGAAUCACUGGGCGUAAAGCGCGUGUAGGCGGGUCGUUAAGUUGGGGGUGAAAUCCCGAGGCUCAACCUCGGAACUGCCUUCAAAACUGGCGACCUGGACUCAAGUAGAGGCAAGUGGAAUUGCGAGUGUAGAGGUGAAAUUCGUAGAUAUUCGCAGGAACACCAGUGGCGAAGGCGACUUGCUGGACUUGUGGUGACGCUGAGACGCG
rnacentral:rRNA from 1 species